rnacentral:tRNA from 1 species
GCCGGAAUAGCUCAGUUGGUAGAGCAGUCGCCUUGUAAGCGAGAGGUCGGGAGUUCGAAUCUCUCUUCCGGCACCA